rnacentral:lncRNA from 1 species
CUUUUUGUUAUUUUAGCAGCAAUAUUUGUAUUUAUUUUUCUCACUUACCUCAGAAGAGAGAUAUCUUAAUUUAGGAUGAACGAGAUCGAAGUAAGUCAUACGUUGCUGGGUCUUAAAAUAAUUACUUAGUAAAGAAAAGCAAUUACCAAUGGUGAAAGAGUUGUGGCAAGGAGACUUAGAAGAAGGCCUUCACCAGGUUUAUGCACCAAAAGUUCGGAGAAUCGAUUCGUGUAGAGAUAUCCCAAAUGGAAUCCCCAUGGGGAAAAAUCGGGAAGGUUCCAGUGUGGGGUCCUGACAACUACCGUGCAUGGACGUUCAAUCCCUGCGUAACUUUAAUACAUUAGUGCAAAUUAACAACCCAAGAAUAUAAUCAAACUGAUGGUUUAUAAACAAACAAUGAAGAGGUAGAAUUAAUUAAGGAACUUGCCAUAUUUAACCGUAGAGCACUCCAUGGCAAUGUCCAUUAUUUCUGAUUUUUGAAAUCCAACUACAGCUACAUGUUUUCCUUUGACAAAGUUGGUUGCAGUUUUGGGUUCCAUUUUGGAAUAAUCCAUUGAAUGGAUUACUUCACCCUCAAAAGCUUCAGGGCCUUUGUUCCCAGGAAAUUCUGGUAUGUUUGGAACUCGGCUGAACCUUCCCAUGCAAACUAUUACAAAAUCAACUUGAUAUACCUGCAAUUUCAAUUUUCAACCAACCAUGAGACAUUCAUUAUAUUGAUUAUUGAUCGUUAAACUGACCGGUCAAACCCCAUAUAAUUAACAGUACAACUUUCGCAUGCAAACCAACAAAAAUCAUUGAUUAACGUCGUAAAAAUAAUUAAUUCGUACUAGAUAGUCUUUCUCCUAGAUCUUAGAAAUCGCUUUAUUUGUGUAUUUCUCGUUUUCAUAAGGUUUGUAUUCUACUAAUAAUUGGGGAGGUUAUAUUAUAACAAUUUUAAUUAACACCGAUUGUCUCUCUUGCUCUUACAGUCAGUUUGGUCAAGCGCGCGGCUGGGCUGUUGCACUGCCCAGAUCGAACCCAAUAACCGUGGAACUUGAAUUAGUUCACUCUUUUAACCUCCAACCUGUUGAACAGGUAAAAGGGCCUUGGUGUCCCAAAACCUCCAAUGCUACUCUCUGACUCUCGAACGCGACUGGAUCAAAUCCUUUGGAAAUUGCAUAUUUGCAUUCCAAGAUCGAGGCCGCUAUAUCUAUCACCUCCUUCUUUUUGCUUUCUCUGCCAUUGCUACUGCUAUUUUUUUUCCUUUCUGAAUAUACUAUAAUAAUAUGCCCGGAUGAUGGGUUUCAUUCAUACAUAGAUAAGUAGAGAGUUUGAAUUGCCCUCUAUAUAUCUAGUCUAUAUAUAUAAUAAAAAAAAAAAGUUAGCCUAAAAUUAAGCCAAGUGGCAUAUUGAGAACUAGCCACUUGGUAUUUUGACAACAAAAAUCUAUUUUGUUGGCAACAAAAUUUAUUUUGGUGAAUAAUCAAUUAAUUACUAUGACCAAAAAGUCAUUCCAAAAUAAAAAAUAUUUCAAUAGAGAUGUCAUUCCUUAAAAUAUAUGAAAAAUAUUAUGAAAAAGAUGUUAUCCCUCAAAAAAUAUACACAAUUAAUUUAAAUAAUAAUAUUAUUUAAAAAAUAUUUAUGAUUUUACUAAAAUUUAGUAAAUCAAGAAAGUAUUACCAAAAAAAUCAAUUAGAGAAUAACUAAUUAAUAAUCAAGUAACUUAUAUGAAAAAGAUUAUUGUCACAAAUGAGUCCUUUCAAAAUUAAAAAUAUUAUAAAAAAUAUGUCAUCACUCAAAAUGUGUAUAUAAUUAUUUUAAGUAACAAUAUUAUAUAAAAAGAACAUUUAUGAUUUGAUUACAAUUGACUCAAUCAAGAAAGUAUCAAGAAAUAUCAAUUAAGAGAAUAACCAAUUAGGAAUCAAACAACUUAUAUGGAAAAAAAAUAUAAUAAUCAAAGAGUUAUUCCAAACUUAAAAAUAUUAUGAAAAAGAUGUGAUCACUCAAAUGGUAACUUUGAUCUACAAAAUGGAAGAAAUUUAUUUCAAUAUAUUUCAAGAAAUUUUAUUUAAAAAAUAUGCAUUCAUAUUUAUUGGGAGAAUUUUUAUUUGAUAUAUUUUAAGUAAUCUAUAUUUAAAAUAAUAUGCAUUCAUAUUUAAUGAAAUGAUUUUCAUAUUUAAGAAUAACUAUCAAUGAGUAAUUACACUGUCAUUCCAUAUUAGGAAAUAAAUAAAUGAUAGUCUUGGAUUUAAAAGGAGGGUAAAUUGAAAAUAAAUAAAUAUUGAAUUUUUUCUAAAAUGAAUAUUACUACACAGAAAAGAUUGCAUAAUGUUUAUCAAAAAUAACUACUAAAAUUACAUAGUCCUAAUUAAUAUUCGAAGUCAAAUAAAAUUUUGCUUUACCAAGUUAUUCUUUAAUUGGCCAAUUAAUGUCUGUAACAAUAAUUUCAGAUUUUAAAAUAAUUAAAUAUUAAAAAAAUACUUUGUUUUGAUGAACAAAAAUUAAUUUAAAAAGAUUAAAUUAUCUUAUAUAAAAAUUUAAAUAUGCAGGUCAAUAAAAUGAAUUAGGAAUAAAUAUUUCUUAAUAAUAAAAAUAUCAAUAAAAAUUUAUAAUAUUUUUAUUUGAUAAAAUAUAGGUGUGAGUUACUAAUAAAUUAGAAUAUAUGCAAUUGAAAUAUUAACAUAAAAUAAAUAUUUAUAUAACAAAAAGAAUUUAUGAUUUCAUUCAAUGUAAGUCAAUUAAGGAGGCAUGACAAAAUUGAUUUUGAAAUAUAAAUAGAAAAUGAAUAAUCAAUUAACAGUUAUAUACGUAUAUAUGGAAAAGAAUAUUGUACCAACUGCAAUUAAUCUAGGAGUUCUAAUGUCAUAAUAAUUUACCACUGUAUAAGAAGGCUACACUCAGUAAAAGCUAAUUAAUUUUUGCAAUAACAUGUUGGAGAAGAUGAAUUGUGCAAGUGAUUUCUGCCACAACUUAUCUUGUUGUGAUAAUCACUAGAAUCUCAAUUUACAGUGAGUAUUAUUUUAGAAUAAAUUUUUUUUGAUUUAUCAAGUCAACUAAAUAUAGAGGUUAUGUCACAUAAUUUUUUUUUCUACAUGUUUGGUGAAAAUUUUAUAAGCCAGUAUUCAUGUACUUUAUGUUUUAUAAAAAAUAUAAUUUGUAUUCUUUGAAAAUUUAAGUUAGUGAUCUUUUAAUAUGUCAUACAUUUUUAAAGACUUAUAAAAAUUUAUCUUGGUCAAAAUGUACAAUGAGAAUUUUAGCAAUAACAUAAAAAAUUACAAGUUAUACAUUAAAGAUGAAGAAACUAAUAUUGAUAUUAGAUAGUUGAUUUUCUUGCAUUGCAAGUAUUGUUGCUUUAGAUUUUAGUGAGAUAAUAAUAUGAUUUCAAAAAUUAAUAAACUAUGAUACUAAAUUACUAAUCCAUUAUAUUUCUAUUUAUUAGUAUUAACACUUGAUUUGUCUAUACUAUAUUUCUAUAUGUUAUGAUUAACAAUUAAUUUAUAAUUUAGAUUGCGUGAUUUUAAUAGUAUAUUAAAAGUUUUGUGAUAUUGUAUUAGGAUUAGGAAUGAUAGUUAAGUGACCUUAGUAAGUAAAUGGUAGUUGUAUAACUACGUAUGAAAUUUACCCGAUAGUAAAAUUACUAUCUCAAAAGUUAUAUAUCGAAGAUCAAAAUUUGGGUGAGUAUCUCGUGGCCGAUGCUCAAUGGGCAAUACUCAAAUUCAAUAAAUCAAAUACUUAUGAAUAUUGCUUUUUUCAAAUUCAUUAUAUUUAAAUUCUUACUGCAAAUAUUAUUGUACUUUUACGUAGCAUAUUGUGCUAAUGGGAAAGUAAAGGUCAUUUAUCAUUUGUUAUUUAUAAACAUUAUGCUACAAAUGUCUUAUUUUUUUGUUUUAGUUGAUAUAAACAGACAAUGAGUUUAAUCAUGUUUAUAUUUAUAUUUGUAACUCCAAUUUUAAAAUAUUGUAGAUAUUUUAGUGUAAUAAUUAUUUUGAUCUACUUUGUACAAUAUAAAGGAUAAAGAUGAAUAAGAUUAAUAUCUUAUUGUACUGAUGAACACGGUAGUGAUUUCAAUAAGAUAUUAAUAGAGUUGGUCCGAAUUCAAUUUCGGUAGUGAUUAAUAUUUAUAAUUUUAUUCAAAUUGAGUAAAUUGAGAAAGUAUGAUAGGCACUACCAAAAAUUCGUCAUUUAGCCACGGUUUAUUAGCCACGAUUAUAAAAACCAUGGCUAAACUAAAUAAAAAAUGAAAGUUUUUUUACACUUUAAAAAGUGUGGCUAAAUAACCAUAGCUAAUAGAGGCGGGUAAAUAUAUUUUUAUUUUCCUCCCUAUUUUUUUUAUUUGUCCCAAAAAUACUAAAGUCCCACCUCUACAGAAUUUUCAACUAAAAGAAACAUUUCCCCCCAAUAUAUUGUACGCUUAGAUUUCCCAAAAUGCAAAUCGCGUCUUUCUCUUGAGGUUUUUGGAAAUUUAUUUCUUCGUCAAUAUUUGUAGCUUCGAUAGCAGCAGAAGUAGAAGUACUUCGAUUGCAACAACAGAGGUAAUAAAUCUUUGCAAUUUAUUAGUUUUAAGGUUAAAAUUGAAAAUAAGGUUCAAUAUUUUUCUUGUUUACUGAAGUUUUGAGCUUAUAAAAAUUGUAAUUUGAUGUGUUUUGUGAAUUUUCUAGUUGUUAUGAAUGAGAAUUUUGAUGAUUUUGAUGGGUUGAGUUUUCUAGUUCUCAAGAAUGAAAAUUAGAUUUGAAUUUUAUGAAGUCUGUAAUUUUGAUGAGCUUUUGUUGGUGUCUCCGUCGUCAUUCAUGAACUACAAUGGAUUGUUGUUUGCCGCAUAUAAUGUUACAAGUUGUUGCCCCAUUUCUUGUUGUACAUGAUUACUGGUUUGAAAUUAUUUUAAAAGCUUCGACAACAAAAAUUUGAUGCAAAUGGAUCAUUUAUGCAAAUGGUGACGAGGGACUUCUUCAUUUAUGCAAAUGGGUCAAGUGAAUAUGAUAAGGAAAGUAGAUCAAGUAAAUUGGUUCACCUAGAAUGUUGAAUAAACGAUGUGUGCUCUUCAUUUUCUGGGUGAUUUUCCUUUCAUAUCUUUCUUAUUUUAUGGAUAUUUUCCAAAUAGGUUCUCUUUAGUCUUUAUUGCCAUUGAUCCUCGUUGAUGAUAGUAUUUUUAAUUUUUGUGAUAGAUUUGUAGUUUGCUGUAACUUUGUUGAUUUUAAUAAUUCUGUCAACAAUAGGGACUAGUUGCUAAUAUUGCUUCAAUACAGUAUGAUUGACAAGAGUUGGAUUCGGAAGCCAAUUAAAUCAAAAGAAUUCUCAGAUGGUGUAGUCCAAUUUUUAAACUUUGUCUUUUCAAAAGUGUCUGUAGAUGGAAAAAUUUCAUGCCCUUGUACUACAUGUGGAUUUUUUGUUAUGCUUAAUAGAACUGAAGUAUUUAAUCAUCUUCUUCAAAAGGGAUUUCCAAAAAAGUACACAUGUUGAUUGAUGCAUGACAAAAAGCGUGUAGUUUCUAAUGUAGCAUCAACAUCCAGAUUACAAUUUGAGUCGGUUAGAAAAUAUCCGAUGCAAGAUAUGUUGAAUGAUGCUUUUGAUGUGUUUGAUGAUAAUAAUUUUUAAGAUUCUGGUCCAUCAAAUUUAUCAGAUAAUGACCAUCAUUGGGGUGCUGAAGAUCAAAGUCAAGAAGAGAGAUAAAAUUAAGGAGGAGUUAGAGGAUGGUAAUUAACAACUUUAUGAUGGUUGUGAAAAAUAUAGUAAAUUGUCAUUCAUUGUUCAUCUUUAUCAUAUUAAGGUCUUAUGUAGUGCAAUCGAUAAAACAUUCUCAAUGAUUCUUGACCUGUUAAAGGAUGUUUUUCCCCAUGCAAAACUACCAUCAUCAUUUUAUGAGUCAAAAAAAUGAUCAAAAGGUUGGGUGAGCUAUGAUAAGAUUGAUGUAUGUCCGAAUCAUUGCAUGUUAUACUGGGGAUCAUUCGAGGAUAUGAAUAGAGAUAAGUGCAAAAAGUACAAUACUUCUAGGUAUAUAUCAGAUGACAAUAAUGUUGGUACAAAUGCUGAAAUUGAUGACCAACAGAAGAGGAAGCUAAAGCCAUCAAAAGUGUUGUGGUACUUCCCACUUGUACCUAGAUUGAGAAGGUUAUACGUGUGCUCCAAAACUGCAGAACUAUUGAAAUGGCAUGCUACAAAGGCUAAUCCAGAUGGUUUACUACGGCAUCCCAGAGAUGGCAAAUCAUGAAAAUAUUUUGAUUCAUUCUAUCCCGAUUUUUCUUUAGAAACUCGUAAUAUGCGAUUUGCUUUAGCUACGGAUGAUUUCAAUUCAUUUGGGAAUCUAAGCUCUACUGUUAGCAUUUGGCCUGUGAUGUUGUACAUUUAUAACUAUCCUCCAUAGUGUUUUAUAAAGCAAACUUCUCUUAUCAUGUCGAUGAUAAUUCCUGGUCCUAAAAUGCCUGGUAACAACAUUGAUAUUUACUUAAAACCUUUAGUUGCUGAGUUGAAUCAGUUGUGGAAAGGUGUGAGUGCUUAAGAUUCCUCAACUAAGAAAAUGUUUUGAUUGCGUGCUACGUUAAUGUGGACCAUAAGCGAUUUUUCAGGUCUUGACAACUUGUCUGGAUGAAAUACACAUACAUUAUUUGCUUGUCCAUCAUGUAACUUUAACACAGAUUCUACGAGACUUAAGUUUGGUAGAAAAAAUUAUUUUAUGGGACAUCGUCGGUAUUUGCCACAAGAUCACAAAUAUAGGUACAACAAACAGUCCUUUAAUGGUUUUGAGGAGCAUAUACCUGCGCCUAUUCCACCAUCAGGUUCAACCUUGCUAAGGAAAAUUGAGGAGAGUCGAAAGAGGCCUUGAGAUGAUGGUACAAGUGAGAUCGGUGCCGAACAAUGAAAGAAAAAAAGUAUCUUCUGGAAUUUAGAAUAUUGGGAGAAUCAACUUAUUCAUCAUUGUUUUGAUCCAAUGCACAUAGAGAAGAACGUUUGUGAUAAUGUAUUGUUUACUAUACUUGGUAACAAAAAAAAUCAAAAGACAAUUUGCAGGCCCAUAAAGACUUGCAAGAAAUGGGAAUUAGAGAAAAGUUUCAUCCAUAUCCUAAUUCUUCUAAGUUUCCUUCAUCGUGCUUUACCAUGAAGAAAGAGAAGAAAGAUAUCUUCCUAAAAGUUUUAAAAAAUGUUGUGUUUCCUGAUAACUAUGCAUCAAAUAUUUCUAGAUGUUUUGAUAUCAAAAAAUGCAAAAUCUCCAAUUUAAAGAGUCAUGAUUCCCACAUUUUGAUGGAGCAUCUUUUAUCAAUCGCUUUUAGAAGAUCUCUUCCUAAAGAAGUUGCUUCAUUGUUGAUUGAGUUAUGUAACUACUUUAGAGAAGUAUCAAGCAAGGUUUUAGAUGUUAAGUAUAUAGAGAAACUCCAACAACGAAUUUGCUUGAAUCAUUGUAAUAUGGAAGUGAUAUUUCCUCCAUUUUUUUCACUAUUAUGAUUCAUCUAGUUAUUCAUAUUGGAGAGGAAGCAAUUCUUGCUGGUCCUGUACAAGGUCAUUGGAUGUACCCAACUGAAAGGUAUAUUCUUUACUUAUUAAGUUGAUAUAUUUUUAAUUUUUUUAAUUCUUACAAUUAGUUUUAAUAUAUUAUCAGGGUACUUGGUCAUUUGAAAUCGUAUGUUCGAAACAAUUCCGCAGCAGAAGGUUAUAUAGCUAAAGGGUCUGGAAGAGUGCCUCACUUUUUGUUCUAGAUAUUUGGAGGAUUGUGAAAUUAAAACAAGGUUUAAUCGACCAAGACGUAAUAAUGAUGACAGUGAGAUUGCUGCUACUAGUGAAUAUGGUAUCUUGUCAAAGUUGUUUCCUGCAAUAGGCAAGUCUGUUGGGGCCAUUAAGACUCUACCCAUACCUUCAGUGAAAAUCAUACAAGCUCACCGAUAUGUGCUAAUUAAUUGUGAAAUAGUUGAUGCAUUUUGAGAGUACGUUACUUGGUACUUUAUAUUUUUCUUUUCUUAUUCUAACAUAUUUGCAUACCUUAAUGUAUUAAUUACAACUACUUUCAGGGAGUUUAGAAUUGAGGUGACUAGAAUGCAUCGUGGUAAAAGAAAUUCUUCAAAACUUGUGGAAGAAUAUGUGCACAAAUACUUUCAUGAGUAGUUUAAGGAAUAUGUAAGAUUUCAGAUAUUUCAUUCCAUUUUGAACUCAAAAUAUCAUAAAAGUAUAUGUAAUUAUCCUAUUAUUUUGAAAUAAUAGGUUGCACGUCAGGAUGGUGCAAACAUUAUUUCAAAAAUUCAAUGGCUUGCACGUGGGCCAAAUAAUGUUGUAAGGAGAUUCAAGGAGUAUAAUAUUCAUGGAUUUAAGUUUCGUACUCUGAGGAAAGAGCAUGGAUUGAAAAUACAAAAUAGUGGUGUUGUUAUGUCUGCUCUUACUAAGAGAUUUUCAAAUGGUAGAGAAUCUGUUGAACAAUCAAGUGAUGAUAUGUACUAUGGUAAAUUGCUUGACAUCAUAGAGUUAAAUAAUUAUGUCAAGUUAAAGGUUGUGUUAUUCAAAUGUAUUUGGGUAGAUACUACACUUAACAAAGGAAUCAAGAUAGAUCAAUUUGGGAUAACAAGUGUAAAGUUUUUCCAUUUGAUACACACUGGUGCAAAAGAAAUAGAUGAACCAUUUAUACUUGCAACUGAUGCUAGAAUAGUGUACUAUGUUGAUGAUCCAAUUGAUGAAGAUUGGUGUGUUGUUUGUCAUAUGAAGUCGAGGGACAUAUAUGAUAUGGGAGAUGUGGAUUUUAUGGAUUUAGAGGAGCCAGAUUUAGAGGAUCCAUUAAUGGAGGACACACCUUUUUGUGAGCAACUUUUGAAAAAUAUUGAAGACUUACCAUUAGUGCGAGAUGAUCCCGAUGGACAACAUCAAGAUGAACCUACUUAUGAUGAUUAUGAAAGUGAUAGUAAUGGAGAUGAUGAUAAUGACAGUGAUGGGGAUGAUGAAGGAAUUUUAGAUUAGUUUAAUUCCCCUAUUAUGAAAUUGAAGACUUACAAUUAAGAUGCAUGUUUUGUUAAUUUUUUUUCACCUUUUUAUUGAAUGUCUUAUAGUUCUAUUUUAAUUAAUUGUGGUUAUUGAUUUCUCCUUAUUUCAUCCUGCAUUACCUCUUACCUCCUUUAUUAUUGCUCUCUCCUAUGGUUCAUAUUGUAUAUAUUUUUAAAUAAUGAGGUUAUGCAGACUUUAUUUAUAGCUUUGGAUGAUUACUCUAGAGAUAACAGAAGUGAUGUUGGUUCUUGGGUUCGUGAGGCUGUCAUGGAUGGCCUUGAGAGAUGCACAUAUACUCUAUGCAAAAGAGGACUCAAGUACUUCUCAAGCAAGUCAGAACAAAUGGAACUUAGAUCUGUUCCUCAGUCGGUAUAUCUGUAAUGGUCAUAGCUUGUGCAUGUGCCCUUGGUCUUGCUACUCCAACUGCCGUCAUGGUUGGCACAGGAGUUGGUGCUUCUCGAGGUAUCUUGAUUAAAGGUGGGUAGGAUUUGGAAGGUGCACAAAAGGUAUGCACGGAUUUUUUUUAACUACGCAUCCAGAAAUGCCAUAUCAUAAAAAAUUAACUUUGAUAUUGAUAACAAACCAUCUGUUUUUGUAGGUGAAUUGUAUAGUGUUUGAUAAGACAGGGACCUGAUAAUGGGCAAACCAGUUGUUGUAAACACAAAGCUUUUCAGAUCUAUGGUACUUUGAGAAUUUUACGAAUUGGUUGCGGCAGUUGAGGUAUAUCUAAGUCUGGUUUAGACUUCUUGAAUGCAUUAUCACAAUUACCAUCCCCUGUUGUGUGGUGUAUUUUUUUCCUAAUGAAUGCCCUACUAGUUCUUUCACUCUUAUUAACUUAGUUAUGUUUCCGUUGCCCCAACAGAGCAACUUAGUUGAUAAAGUUUCGGACUUUGAGGAGAUAUAUGUUUGGUAUUACAAUAUAGAAUGGGUUUUACUUCAAAGGCUUUGUCCAUUGACUGUGUUCAGAUGAAACUGCUUUCUCUUCUGUUGGUUUCUUGCCUAUUUAGUUAUGAAAGUGAAGUGUUUUCAGUUUUGUUAGAUCUAUAUAAACUUAUCCAUCCUUGAGCCGAGGGUCAACCUCUCUACCAUUGAGGUAGAGAUAAAGUUGGCGUACAAUCGAACCUUCUUCCUUGAACACCCGUUUGCGGGAUUAUACUGGUAUGUUGUUGUUGUUGUUGUAUAAUCUUACCCGAAAAUGGAAGUGCGAAAGAUAUUACUAAGAAAAUUGAAGCUUAGUUUAAAAAAAAUUGGUUAAGUACUCAAAUUCCAACUAACUUUCAUCUUCUUGGAAAUAUUACUUUCUGUUUGUAGUUGGGCUAAAUGGUCCUAUUUUGCUCUUUUAUCUUCUUGGAAACAUUACUUUUCUUAUACACGUUGUCCCAAAGAUGUUAAAAACUCAAUAUUCAUGAUAAUACAAUAUAUUCUUGUAAAAUUUUGAUUAAAAAGGAAAAAUGAAACUUGUACAAGUAUAGUAAUUAAUAUAACUUGAUUUUUGGUUACCCCCAGUUCCUGCAUAUUAGACCAUGUACUAGUACUUUUGUUAUCUUAGUAUUUUAGUCCAAGAUAACUUAUGUCAUGACCCUAAUGCAUAAAGGUUUAUUUAAGAUUAGAAGCAAUUGUGAUCAUUUACUCCUGGAGAUGUAGAUUCUAAGCACUUGUUCUCGGGAAACAUUUUUAUGAUCAAUCUGGAAAACUUUUGUCUCUUCUACAUACAUCAUUGGCCUUUACUGGUUUGGUGUCUCUAUUUUUCAUUGCUCUUGGAGUGUUAUUUUUUUUUUAAAAAAUCCUCACCUAUGUUGGCCACAAUGAGUUUCUUAUUGUACUGUUAUUUUUAGCUUUAUGUUUCCUACUUGCCCGAAAAUACAGCCUGGUUCGUCCACCAUAAAAAUCUUGAUAGCUCAAGCAGUAUAUCUCGUCAGCGUGUUGAAGACCUUGAGAAACAAGUAAAAACCUUGAAAGAAAAGCUAACCGGAUAUGAAGAGACCAAAGAAAAGCUUGUGCAAAAUAAGAAUCACUUGGCAACUCUUCAUAGAUUCUUACAAUCUAAAUUUGGUAGUGAAUUGCCUACUUUGAACUAAUCUUCUUAGCCUUUAGAAUAUUUUAGAACAAACGAUAGAUAUGGUGUUUCUUUAACUUCUAACAUUACUCAUUAUGAUUAUCUUUUAUGAAUAUUUAAGGUUUGGACUUUAACUUUUGUGACAAUAUAUUGAACAAUAAAAAGAUUUUGAUAAUUAUGUUUCAAUCUUGUGUAUGAUGGUCAAUUUAUAAGUGAACGUCUAUCAUUAUUCAGGAAUUAGUAUCAGGCAAUCCGCGUAUUUAAAAAGAAAACAAUUACAAUAUAUAUAUAUAUAUAUAUAUAUAUAUAUAUAUAUCUUGGCUCUUUUUCCACGAUUUUAAUAUAUAUAUAUAAAUAGCUUGGCUCUUUUGCCACGAUUUUAUAAGCAAAAAAUAUUUUUUUUUAAAUCUGGACAUUUUAGCCACGGUUUUUAAUAUGCAAAAAAUAAAUAUUUACUUUUUGCCACGGUUAGAACUGUAGCUAAUUUAUAUGCAAAAUAUUUAAUUCUUAAAAAAUGGAUAUUUUUCCACGGUGCAAACCGUGGCUAAUUGAUAUGAUAGCAAAAUAAUCAAAAAGUUUAACCAUGGAAAGACCGUGGCUAAAUGCAUCAGGAAACCGUGGCUAAUAAAAUGUUACCACGGACAGUAAAAACGUGGCUAAUUUACUCGCCACGCCCCUGUUGGACAUACUUGUAACCGUGGCUAACAAACCGUGGCUAAACUAUUUAGCCACGAUAUAUGUACCAUAUAGCCACGAUUUUGCACGUGGCUAAAAUGCAUUUUUUUUGUAGUGAGGGUUGAUCGAAAAUAGAGUUGAAGCGUGAAUAUUCAAACCUAUGAAGGACUAAAACAUUUUUUUGAAAAAUAAUAUACAAUAAGAUUUAUUAAUAUUUGUUGGUCCAUUAUCAUAAGAGAAUAAGUGAAUAUUUUGAAAUCGUGCAAACAAGUUAGGACUUAAAAUAAUGUCAUAAGUUAUUUAUUGAAAAAAUGGUAAUAAUAAAAUAUGAGAGAGGAAAAAUUGACUAUUAUUGAGACUUUGCUCAAAAUAUUUUCCUUGACGGAAAAUAUUUUAAAUUUAUAAAAAAUAUGCUAUGACUAAGAUCGUGCAAAGGAAUACAAAAUUUACUUCUAAAGAAAAAUCUAUUAAGACAAGAAAAGAUAUGGGGAAACUCCUUUCUUCCUUUUGAUAAGAGGGCGUAAAUUAAAAUAUAUUUAAUAUAAAAAAAUUUAAAUUUCAAGUUAAAAUUUUACAGAGAAGCCUCGUGUGCAUAACUCUAAAACAUGUCUUUCAUUAGUUCUUUGUUUUUCUAACCAAAUUUAGAAGUAAGUCACUUAACUAAUAAUAAUUAUGUUAAAUAUGCAUUUUCUUUUGUAAUUAUAUGAUUUUUUUACAAAAUAAAUCAAUAGAGAUCACAAUAUUAUCUAAUAUUCUCAAAUAAUUAUAUUACGAUAUAAUAUUAUUUGCACACUGAUGAUAACCUUCGAAAAGAAAUGUUUAAAUUUUAUGAGAUUAAUAAUAUUAAGUUUAAUAUUUUAAUAGUUAUUUUUCGUAUUGCAUAAAUUUAUUAAUUUCAAAUAUGCGAAUGAUAUUGAAUAAAUUUUUUAUUAUAUAAAAUCAAUAAGAUAAUAAUUUCUAUAAUUAAUUUUAUUUAAUAUUGACCGCGCAUCACGCGGGUACUAAUACUAAUACUAGUUACUAUAUAAAUAGCCAAUGACAGGGAGAGGAAGAUGAGAUAUCUGAUUGCUAGGAUCUGCUUUCAAAUCUUUACCAUAUCUGGGUUUUGCCUUUUCUGGAUGAAAGUGACACGAGUUUAAUAGUUUUCUUAAUUUGUUGAUAAGUACACUUUGUCCUUGUUGACCUGACCUAAACUAACCAAUUAUUCUGAUGUUUUGGGAGUCCAAAUUUGACUUAUCAUGGCUGAAACUUACGUAUGACAAUACUUAACAAUUGAAAAAAGUUAAUUUCAGGAAUAUGUGAACAUGAACAGUGAUAGAAUAUGAAUGGUUGAUCCAUGCUACAGAUCAAGUGGAUUUUCUGUUAGUAAAGGACAAGGCUUUAAAUCUGCAUGCAGCGUCUCUGUACGUUGAGCUGCUACAUAUAUAGCUAGCUAGAUCAUUUUUUCCUUGUAUUUAAUUUUAUUGAAUUAUCUCUUUAUAAGUCUCGUCGAGAAAUGACAGAAAGAAAGAAAUGACAACAUGCACAGUGAAUUUCUUUUGCAGACCAAAUAGGCACCUAACAACAUAAUACAAAAAUCCGUCAGUUCUAUUAAUUAAAACUACACAGCCAAAAGAUUUGAGGGUCCUGGUGUACAAAGAAAAGACAACACUUCAAUGAUUUCUGAAGCACUCAAAUGCACAAUCUAGCUAUAAGUUGUGAUUGUGUCAUGCUUUAGAAAUACUUUCUUUCAAAAACACAAUAUCAAUUACAUCAAUUUCAGAUUACAUGUUACUGAUAGCGCCCUGGCUAAUUCAUAACAAGUAGAGGAUAUGGGUUGUGCGAUUCCUUGCAAUUGAAUACAAUUUCGAACACCAUAGGACCGAUUAAUUGAUACAGACCCUGCUAGUCUUAAGACCAAUACUGUUUAUCAAUUUGAGAUUAUGGUAGAAAACGACAAAAUUCAAAUAACGUUAAAAAAUAAAAGUAAACAUAAGAAACCGGAUGAAGGAUUUUGGAGCUCUUUUAUAUCAGCCAGUGUAAUCCAUUGGUCCAUAAGGUUCAAACCACUCAGCCCAAAACCCCUUUUUCCUCUUAGGGUUCCAUCCCAUGUCCUUGCAUAACUGGUCAUUGUGCCAAACAUGCAACGCAGCAAUACACGAUCCUCUAUAGUACUUGUUGUAAGAAUAUCUUUUCUUGUAUUUAUCCCAUUCUGCUAUGUCUUUCUCCAUCAUCUUUACGCUAGGUAGCUUGAAUUUUCCAUCAAGAAGCUCUGCCAGCCACCGGCACCUUAUUUCCGAUGUGUAUAGAUUGGUUGUACUUUCUGAGAAUCCAAUUAUUGCCAGUUGUGGAAUUCCGGGAUGGAUACAUUCCCUGAUAAAUUAUGAGUUUUAAUAAUUUCACAUGACAAGUACAGUUCUACAAAGGAAAAAAAAAAAGAUGUACGGUUCUGGUGUAUGCUUGCAAAAGUAUUCUUUUAUUACUCACCUAUAGAGGGGAACUGCAGCAGAAUCAUCUAAGCCUGCAAUGAAUUCUUGAUAUUUUGGUGAUUCAAAAAUGUGUUUGAGCUUAUCAAUUCCCCUGAAGCCGGUAGCGAGUAUGACUAAGUCGGAUUUUAUUGGUUCAGCUUGACCCUUGAGCAAGAUACCUUCUUUACAGAAUCCAACAAUCUCUACUUUCUUGAUGAGCUUGAUACUUCUUUGCUCAACUCUAUCGUAGAAGCCAUCCGGCAGUACAGAAAGUGAACAUGAACUCAAAUCGUUUAAGAAGCUGUGCUCUGGCACCAUUCCAUGUUGUGCAAGCCUGUUUUUGCGUUUUAUAUAACUUUCUACAAAUUUUGAGAAGGCCCAUCUCUGUAAAUUAAUAUGCAUGUUAGUUUUGUGAGAGGAAGAGUAAAACUCCGACAAGGUAGCAAUAUGAACAUUUAUUACUGCUUUGGGAUGGAUGGGAAUACCUUGAGAAAAGACAGUAGUAGUUAUUACUUUAUUAGAACGUGUCGCUUUUUGUUAUUUUAGCAGUAAUAUUUGUAUUUAUUUUUCUCACUUAUCUCAGAAGAGAGACAUUUUAAUUUAGGAUGAACGAGAUCGAAGUAAGUCAUACGUUGCUGGGUCUUAAAAUUAUUACUUAGUAAAGAAAAGCAAUUACCAAUGGUGAAAGAGUUGUGGCAAGGAGACUUAGAAGAAGGCCUUCACCAGGUUUAUGCACCAUAAGUUCGGAGAAUCGAUUCGUGUAGAGAUAUCCCAAAUGUAAUCCCCAUGGGGAAAAAUCGGGAAGGUUCCAGUGCGGGGUCCUGACAACUACCGUGCAUGGACGUUCAAUCCCU